AAUUGAUGGCAUCUUAAAUGCAGUAAAAUAAUACAAAUACUUACAAAAUUAUGGGAUGAUCUGUGGGAGCAAAGGUCUGGCUUUCAGAGGUCAGAAGGCUGAAGGAAUCACAGCAAACCACCACUGAUGAUGUCAGCUCCCUGCAGCACCAAAGCAAAUGAUUCACAAAGGAAUGCCCAGGAGUCAAGGCAAACCUCAUGACUACCAUUUGCCAUUUACCUGCCCACUUGCUGUCAGAGAGUAAUACCUUCUCCUAAUUUUCCACUUUUAAUCUCCCAGAGAAAUGCAAAUCAAAACCACAAUGAGACAUUGCCUCAUACCUGUUGGAAUGGCUAUUAUGAAAAACAUAAAAGGCAACUGCUCUAUACCAGGCCUCUCUUAGGGAGACAUGUCAUAUCCCUCAGGUGUGCAGAAAAAUACGGCUUCUGCUGGAGAUGGAAAAAGGACCCUGGGGAGGACAAGAUGCCUCAUGUCAAAGCAACAAGAUUCCAGUGAAGAGCUGCAGGCCUCAGAGGCAGGUAGGCAGAGCCAUUUCUUGGUCGGAACAUCUUUCUUCUUCAGUCCCCAGCAAAUCAUCACAGUGAGCUGUCAGCAUUUUCCCCCACAUUCUCCAGAAGCAGCCUCUGGAUCUUAAACACAAUUCUUCCUUUGAUUCUUUUGAUGACGGUGCAACAGCAAAAUGCUGUGGCAAUCAAAACUGCCUGAAAACAGCAGAUUAGCCAUUCCAAGUUUUAACUGAGUUAAUCAAAGAACUGUCAGCACAGAUGCUGUCCAUGGUUCUCCUAGAGAUGCAAUCUUGAUGCUGUGUCCUUGAGAUUUCUCAUUUAGAGGGCCUCUUCCAGACAGAACUUUGGGAUAUUCAUAAGAGUAACUUCUACAUGUGGUGAGGUUGAGGACGGGGAUAGCAGUGAAGAUGUGCCAGACACUUAAAAACACUAUCUCAUUUAAUUUUCCAAAGAGUCCAGCCAGACACAUACCAAUGUCCCCAUUUUGCAAACGAAAUUGAGGCUCAGAGAAGUUAUAUGGUCACUCAGCUAGGAAAAGCUGGAAUUAGAAUUGGAGCCUAUGUCUAAUCUUCUUAGACUUCACACUCUUUGCCCCUGUUCACCCCUCCUCAUUUUUUCCUCCCAUUUGCAAUGUGCCUAAUACUCUUCUCAAGAGCAAACAUGCUUGAUUCACAGCUUGGGCCUUGGCCUUUCUUUUCUGAGUUUGAAUCAUAGGAAGCUAAUGCUAAAGGGGUCUUCUCACACGGCUUUGUGCAAUCCUCUAAAUUAUCAUGAGAAAACUGAGGAGCAAUAGAUUAAAUGGCUGUGCCUCUAGUGAGCCAUUGAGUCAGUGUCAGCACCAGGACCACCACUGACUCUGGGGCAGUAUGCUGGCACUUUAUAGUGCUCUCAAAGUUGUGCAAGGGCCAGGCAUGUGCCUCACACCGAUAAUCCUAGCAACUAAGGAGGCUGAGGCAGGAAGAUCCCUUGAGGCUGGGAGUUCAAGACUAGCCUGGGCAACCCCUUUUCCUAAAAAGUUUUAAAGCAUGGUGGUGCACAUCUGUAGUCUUAGCUACUCAGGAAGCUAAGGCAGAAAGAUCCCUUGAGCCCAGUAGUUCAAGGCUACAGUGAGCUGUGACUGCUCCAAUGCACUACAGCCUGGGUGACAGAGCAAAAUCAAACUUUUAAAACAUAUAUAUACAUAAUAUAUAUUUUUAAAUAUUGUACAAGGAGACACCCAUGUCAUGGAUGUGGGGAGCUGAUUCUCUCAAGACCUCGACUUUUCUGGGACACACAGGUAAGUGGGGAGCUCUGGAGUGACAGUGAGGGGCAACACUCACACAUGUCAAUCAUGUUUGACUCUGGCACUUACUGUUACUUUUCAGCAGAGCAAUUCUAGUCAUCAAAACCCAUAGAGAAAGCACAUAUUAAACAGAAACAGAUUUUCUAGCACUUUUUCUGGGUCAGUUCUUUCAUUUUCUUUCAGGACUUUCUGGUUCUCUCAUCCUGGAAUGUGGCAGUACAAAGUUUAAACUACUCGUCAAAUCACCACCACUCUCUACUUCUUCAAUUCCUUAUUACCUAUUUUCCAACAUGGCCCCUUGGGCUGACUAAUCCAGUUUAUAUAAACCCCACACACCCUCUACAGGUGAUUUACCUGCUCCUAGAUGACUGCCUCCUCCCUCUGGUACCCCCCUCUUUAGUUCCUCUAAGCCAGAAGUUGCAGUCACAAAUGUCUUCAGGAGCUAGGAAGAUAAAGAGAAAUGUGUAAAGUGCCAGGUGUAUGAUAAUAGGGAAUGGUGAGGAGGGUAGCAAACUAGAAGGUGCAAGCCCCAUCUACAGAAAUUCAAAUUUUAAAAAAUAUAAAGCAUUCUGCUGACCAAAUAGAAUACUUGUACAGAACUGGAUGCAGUGGCUCACAUCUGUAAUCCGAGCACUUUGAGAGGACAGGGCAGCAAGAUAGCUUGAGGCCAGGAGUUUGAGACCAGCCUGGCCAACAUAAUGAGACCCUGUCUCUACAAAAAAUAGAAAAUAAAAACAUUAACUGGGCAUGGUGGCACACAACUGUAGUCGUAGCUACUCAGUAGACUGAGCCUUGAGUAGCUACUCAGGAGGGCUGCUUGAACCCAGGAGUUUCAGGCUGCAGUGAGCUAUCAAUGAGUCACUGCACUACAGCCUGAGUGACAGAGUGACAGCCUGUCUCCAG